AUUGAACGCUGGCGGCAGGCCUAACACAUGCAAGUCGAGCGGCAGCGGGAAGUAGCUUGCUACUUUGCCGGCGAGCGGCGGACGGGUGAGUAAUGUCUGGGAAACUGCCUGGUGGAGGGGGAUAACUACUGGAAACGGUAGCUAAUACCGCAUAACGUCGCAAGACCAAAGAGGGGGACCUUCGGGCCUCUUGCCAUCAGAUGUGCCCAGAUGGGAUUAGCUAGUAGGUGGGGUAAUGGCUCACCUAGGCGACGAUCCCUAGCUGGUCUGAGAGGAUGACCAGCCACACUGGAACUGAGACACGGUCCAGACUCCUACGGGAGGCAGCAGUGGGGAAUAUUGCACAAUGGGCGCAAGCCUGAUGCAGCCAUGCCGCGUGUAUGAAGAAGGCCUUCGGGUUGUAAAGUACCUUCAGCGGGGAGGAAGGUGUUGAGGUUAAUAACCUCAGCAAUUGACGUUACCCGCAGAAGAAGCACCGGCUAACUCCGUGCCAGCAGCCGCCGUAA
rnacentral:rRNA from 1 species